GUCUUUCCCUAUGCCCUUGCGGUAACCUGAGCGGGGGGGUCAGGAGGCGGCCCGAGAACGCGCUGGUGGGCAGUGGCCCCGCCCUGGCCGGCGGGAGCCCGCUACCCUCCACCCUACCCCCCACGUUCGCGUUCUCAGAAUGGGGCCGGGUCUGCGCGCUCAGCUCCGCACAGAUCGGCCCUUUUCCUGCAUUUUAGAGGGUUGCCCGGGCACUAAGCCGGCCAACAUGGCAGUAGUCGUCCCUGCCCAGCCGGCGGCGUCUCGGGGAAAUAGUGGAGACGUCAGAAUGAAUGGACCUUGGAGAGGGGCACGGCGCCCCAAGGGAUCCCUCCUCCUCCCCGGCCCCCCCAGUGCGCGCACACGCGCUCUCCCAUACCUCCCCCGCCCUCCCCGCCAGCUCUUCCGGCUCCCCAGCCCUGCCCCCAGGGUAGGGGCAUCUCCCCGGGCGCUCACUCUGCAGAGUCUUGGCCGGAAGCGGAGGACCACACAACUGGGCUCGAUCUCCGUUUGUGACAACUCCUCCGCGAACUCUAAGCACGUGCUGGGAUCCAUCGAAUCCAAGGCAGUGAUGAAAGGCCCCUGAGGGCUCGACUUGAGUGCGGAGAUGGUGGUGGUCUGCUGCCCCGGCUGCCCCUGCUGCCAUAUCGAGGCCCGCGUUUUGAGCUCCAGGAACCUGAAGAUCGCGGCCCCUAUCACCACGUAGGUCACCACUGCCAACCACAGUUCCAAGAGAAUGGAUCUUUUCAUGAC